rnacentral:antisense_RNA from 1 species
AUGGGCUGCCUGGCCCUGUCUUGGGGACAUGAAGCCUGGUUUGCCAAGUGGGAACCGAGGGACCUGUGCUCCAAGAGACACAUCCAGGGACUGCAAUCAAUUUCCAAAGGGCCUUUUCUCUUUUCAGCGAUGCUGUUAAGAAAGGCAAUGAAUCAUGUGCCACAAGAAUCUUGGGAGAACCCACGAGCUUGGGAGCUGGUGACAGACCCCCAUUCGGAGCGCUCUCUGCACAGCUACACAGCGACCCCGCCCCCGCCUGCCCAUCAGGAUGGCUCCGUGGCUGCAAAGGGCGAGUGCUUGGUUCCCAAGGCAGGGCCCAGCUCCAUGGUUCUCCUCGCCUCACUCUCCUCCGUGAGCCUCAGGGACGCGGUGGCCACGGCACCCCCAGUUCUCCCCAGAGUUGCUGUUCCCACCUUUGGCUGUGAGGAGCCCGCCUGGCACAGCUCCGUGAGUGCCGGGCGUCCUUGCCUGAAACAAACUGCAAUUCAGCGUGGGAUUCCAGGAUUCCAUGGCAACUGCUCGUGCCCUGUGUUCCGGCCCCGGCUGGGGCUUGGGAGCAGCCGCUGUGUCAUGGGGGAUCCACUUGUUUACCGACAGCCCCAAGGACCCAGACAUGGUGCCAGCUUCCCAUGCCUUGGCCCUGAGAUCUGGGAGGCCCAUUGCGGCCGGUGCUUCCCCCAACCCCACUGAGCAUCUCCUUCCCGCCCUGUGUCCACCCACCUCCUGCCCAGGACCCCUGAGUGUUUGUGGGCUCUACCUGGUGGGAUGCCCUUUGGCUUGUAGACAGGGGUUCGUUGGCAGCAUAGUGUUCCCUAUUGAUGUCCACAUCCUAACAACGAUGUCCACAUCCUAGUGGGAGCCUGUGACUACCUGGCUCGGGGGAUCCAGGUUGCAGAUGAAAUGAAGGUUGGAUUAGCUGACUUUAAACUAGGGCGGUGACCCUGGAGCAUCCCGGGGGGCCCAGUGUAAUCACAAGGUCCUUAAAAGUGGAGGAGGGGCCAGCGUGGGGCUCACGCCUGCAAUCCCAGAGCUUUGGGAAGCCGAGGCAGCAGGAUCCCCUGAAUCCAGGAGUUCGAAGCCAGCCUGGGCAACAAAGUGAGACCGAGUCUUCAAAGCCAGCCUGAGCCACAUAGUGAGACUGAGUCCUGUCUCUACAAAAAGUCAACAAAAAUCAGCCAAGUGUAGUGGCGCACGCCUGUGGUCCCAGCUACUCAGGAGGCUGAGGUGGGAGGAUUGCUUGAGCCUAGGAGGUCAAAGCUGCAGUGGCCAUGAUCACACCCCUGCACUCCAGCCUGGGUGACAGUGAGACCCUGUCAAAAAAAAAAAAAAAAAGUGGAGGAGGGAGGCAGGCGAGCCGGGCUCAGUGAGGAGGGCCCAGGCUGCAGUGGGUGCCAGAGUCUAUCCUGGAAAAAGGAAUGACAUGAACACGAGGGAAGCCCCGAAGGGCCAUUCAGUGCAGCGCUGAGCAAGAGGGGACGUCCUCGAGGAGCCCCGAGCCCUGGUGAUGAGGCCGUGGUGGGUGGGGGCCCAGCGGGUAGCAGGCGCCCCCUCUGCGUGCGCAGCGGGGCUGGUGGCUCCACAUAUCACCCUGGUGCAUCCGAGUCCUGAGCUGCCACUCCUGCCGGCCUGCUCUGGGGCGGGGCGGGGCUUGCACAAGCAGCACCUGUAGGGCCUGCUCUAGGGCGGGGCGGGGCUUGCACAAGCAGCACCUGUAGGGCCUGAGUGCGUGGCUCCCCCAGCCCCAACACACCCCCCAGCCCAAGUGGUGGAGUAAAGGUCUCCGCACAUGGCCUUGGGGUGGGGUUAGGACCCCAGUCCCUGCCACCACCCAACAGGCAGGGCUUUGGGCAAGCUACUCAGUGCCCGAGACCCAAUUUCUGGUCGGCAGGUGAGAGGGGCCGGGGGGACAAGAGCCUGUUCCCAAGCUCUCCAGAAGUCAGGCCCCUGAGGUGGUGCAGUGUGGCUGACAUGACCAUCCCCACGGACCCUUGCCUCCCACUUGCCCCGCAGGACCGUGCCCAGGCCCGUUGCCUCUGCUGUGGCUUCCACAACAUUCCCCCUGGCUCCCAAUCCCUGCACGGACCUUCCUGCUUGGGAAAAACCUCAAGGGACAGGCCAUGACCUGCAGAGCAGAGUGUGAUCUGGAAACGGGAGCCUUUUAAGAAUUGGCCAGACGGGGACAGGCGUGGUGGCUCACGCUGGGAGGCUGAGGCAGGUGGAUCACCUGAGGUCAAAAGUUCGAAACCAGCUUGGCCAACAUGGCGAAACCCCGUCUCCACCAAAAAUAUAAAAAUUAGCUGGGUGUGGUGGUACAGACCUGUAAUCCCAGUUACUUGAGAGGCUGAGACAGGAGAAUCGCUUGAACCCAGGAGGUGGAGGUUGAGGUGAGCCAAGAUCGCGCCACUGCACUCCAGCCUGGGUGACAGCGUGCGACUCCAUCUCAAAACAAAAAGCAAACCCAAAAAGAGUUGGCCAGAGGGAUGUGCAGAUGUGAUUAGGACUAAGGACCCACACAGCCCGAGGUGGGUACGGCCCCUAGGCCUGGAAACACUUCUGGCCUGCAUGAGAAGAAGUGACGGUGGGCAUGGGUCAGAGGGCCUGAAGUGGAGGAAGGGGCCACGAGCCAAGGAGUGGGGGCCUCCAGAAGUGGGGAGGAGCGGGGAAGUGGCUUCUCCCCCAGGAACUCUGACGUGGCCCAGAUUUCAAUGCAGACUUGAAUGGGGCCUCUUUGACAGGAUAACCGUCAUUUUAAAGAGAAAGACACGUGUCUGGCCUACGUCGCAAGAUGGCUCUUGCCACACAGUACGCUCCCUGAUGUGGGGUCUGCGCCACAGGGCGGGGGGCACUGCCUGGGAGAAAAGGACCGAGACCUUUGCACACUCCUCGACGUGCCAGGCCCCCUGUGGCCGCAGUGCCUGCCUGGAGAGCACCCGGGACGCAGAGCUGCUGGUGGCCCUGGGGACAGCAGGGGGGACCCGGGCAACGUCCCCCCACCCCCAGAGCUCUGCUCUGACCGAUGCCCCCCUGCGGUGGGGUGAGCAGUUUCCUUAAAGACACAGCCGCCAGCCGCGGAGUCUGCGCGUGUUGUUUACUGUUUGUCACUCUCUGCUCUUAGCUUCACAUUGCCAUUUCGUAUUUUGUCAAAGUCCGUCUCAAUUCGCGUUUGGUAAAAUAAAUAGAUAAUGAGCCUCUAGGCCGGCGCUC